rnacentral:rRNA from 1 species
GACAGAGGGUGCAAACGUUGCUCGGAAUCACUGGGCGUAAAGGGCGUGUAGGCGGGUAGGUAAGUCAGAUGUGAAAUCCCUGGGCUCAACCCAGGAAUUGCAUUUGAAACUGGCUUUCUUGAGUACCGGAGAGGAAGGCGGAAUUCCUGGUGUAGAGGUGAAAUUCGUAGAUAUCAGGAGGAACACCAGUGGCGAAGGCGGCCUUCUGGGCGGUAACUGACGCUGAGACGCGAAAGCGUGGGGAGCAAACAGG